rnacentral:rRNA from 1 species
AAAGGGACUUCGGUCCUGAGUAAAGUGGCGCACGGGUGAGUAACGCGUGGAUAAUCUACCCAAUGAUCUGGGAUAACAUUUCGAAAGGGGUGCUAAUACCGGAUAAGACCACGGAGUCCCUGGACUCUGUGGUAAAAGGUGGGGACCUUCGGGCCUACCGUCAUCGGAUGAGUCCGCGUACCAUUAGCUAGUUGGUGGGGUAAUGGCCCACCAAGGCUACGAUGGUUAGCUGGUCUGAGAGGAUGAUCAGCCACACUGGAACUGAGACACGGUCCAGACUCCUACGGGAGGCAGCAGUGGGGAAUUUUGCGCAAUGGGGGAAACCCUGACGCAGCAACGCCGCGUGAGUGAUGAAGGCUUUCGGGUCGUAAAGCUCUGUCAGAAGGGAAGAAAUGUGGGUGGCUAAUAUCCAUACCACUGACGGUACCUCAAAGGAA